CCCAUCUUUGAUCUGUCGCUCCUCUUUUCGAAUUCUUACAGCGUGAUAGCGGGGGACACUGUCUUCGUACCUGGAACGCCGGAAGAACCCGCACUGCGCAGAGAGGGAAAAGAACAGUUUAGGUCUAAGUUGCUGCCAAAGUCCUGCAACUGUAGAGGCAGUAAAUUCCUCCUUCACACAAAUAUGCAGUAAAACAACUGCUCCGCUGUGGUUCGCUCUUGGGGCACCAGACACAAAAGUCAUCUCAUCUUGGGAGACAAUUCCUUUACCAGAGUCCAAAGAGAAGCCUUAAACAGAGAAAGAAAUACAAAUUAACUAAGCAACAGCUUGCAUCUUAAUGUGAAAAAAUAAACAUUUCCCCUGCUAUAUUAAAGUGGUAUAUGGUAUAUGGAAUACAAGUUUUGUCUAAAACACAGA